rnacentral:rRNA from 1 species
UACGGGAGGCAGCAGGGGGGAAUAUUGGACAAUGGGCGCAAGCCUGAUCCAGCCAUGCCGCGUGUGUGAAGAAGGCCUUCGGGUUGUAAAGCACUUUUGUCCGGAAAGAAAAGCUUAGGGUUAAUAACCUUGAGUCAUGACGGUACCGGAAGAAUAAGCACCGGCUAACUUCGUGCCAGCAGCCGCGGUAAUACGAAGGGUGCAAGCGUUACUCGGAAUUACUGGGCGUAAAGCGUGCGUAGGUGGUUUUGUUAAGUCUGAUGUGAAAGCCCUGGGCUCAACCUGGGAAUGGCAUUGGAAACUGGCUUACUAGAGUGCGGUAGAGGGGUGUGGAAUUCCCGGUGUAGCAGUGAAAUGCGUAGAUAUCGGGGAGGAACAUCUGUGGCGAAGGCGACACCCUGGACCAGCACUGACACUGAGGCACGAAAGCGUGGGGAGCAAACAGGGAUUAGAUACC